UUGGUGAAAGGAGAAGUCGAUGGAGAGCAGCUCCUCUGAGAGCGCCUCUCUCCUCAGCUCAGGUCCAGAUAAGAGAAUUACGGCACGACAAGGAGAGUUGACAGAGCUCACUAUAAGUCUAUUAGCAAGUUCAUUAGAAACAAAGAUCAGUUUGAUAAGACAAAAGCCUCUUUAGUGAGUAAAUAAGUAUGCUUCACAGCUCAGCUUUUUAAAAUGUAUUUAUUUAUUAUUAUUUUUUUUUUCGUUGGAAGACACUCAACCUGACUGAGCUCUAAUUGUUCCUUAAAUGAGGACAAGCUGAACAAGAAAAUCACCACUAAGGAACCCAGGAGAGCGGCUCCCCAGGGACCGACGCGAACUAACCGUGGCGGCAGCCUGCCAGCCUGGCAGGAGGCGGCCCGUGCCACCCCUGGCCUGGUUUCACCAACGCUUGUGUUUGAAGGUGUAUUUUCCAGCUGUUACUCACAGCAUGCGGACAUAUCAGGCUAACAUGAAAAGGCGGCCCACAGCUGUGAAAACACAGACGGGCCCAGCGGCUCCAGGUGACUGCACACCUUGACUCCCAUUCAUCAAACCCUGUUUACCCUGGCCGGCCAGCCUAAGCUGCCCAAGAAUCAACUCCUCCGGAGAGAUUGAUGUGGCCUGUGAUUUAUGUAUGAAUAAGAGCUGGCAGCUGUUGCCAGAGGCAGUUCCAGCAUUCUUGGACAGGAAGCGGCAUAGAGUGAAAUGUGUGAUUAUGUUCUAAGUAUUUUAUUGUACAUAUAGAAUUACAGUAGAACUUUGACUUACAAGUUAUGAAAUGAAUUGAAAUGCCAUUACUACUUUCCAGCCGCCUGAAAAACAUGACAAUGUUUUUUUGUUACAUGUAAAAUUUAAAGACAGA